GCUUGUCUCAAAGAUUAAGCCAUGCAUGUCUAAGUACAAGCCUCAGUAAGGUGAAACCGCGAAUGGCUCAUUAAAUCACACCUAAUCUACUGGAAAGUUACUAGUUACUUGGAUAACUGAGGUAAUUCUUGAGCUAAUACAUGCGAAAAAUCUCGACUCACGGAGAGAUGCUUUUAUUAGAUUAAAGACCAAUGCGGGCUUGCCCGGUAUUGUGGUGAAUCAUAAUAACUCCUCGAAUCGCAUGGCCUUGCGCCGGCGAUGUUUCAUUCAAAUUUCUGCCCUAUCAAUUUGAUGGUAGGAUAGAGGCCUACCAUGGUGGUAACGGGUGACGGAGAAUUAGGGUUCGAUUCCGGAGAGGGAGCCUGAGAAACGGCUACCACAUCCAAGGAAGGCAGCAGG
rnacentral:rRNA from 1 species